GUGCUCGCUUCGGCAGCACAUAUACUAAAAUUGUAAUGAUACAGAGAUCAGCAUGGCCCGUGUGCAAGGAUGACAUGCAAAUUUGUGAAGCAUUCCAUAUUUUA
ensembl:snRNA U6 U6 spliceosomal RNA